UCCCCUAGUAACUGCGAGUGAAGCGGGAAAAGCUCAAAUUUAAAAUCUGGUGGCCUUUGGCCAUCCGAGUUGUAAUUUAGAGAAGCGUCUUCCGCGCUGGACCGUGCACAAGUCUCCUGGAAUGGAGCGUCGUAGAGGGUGAGAAUCCCGUCUUUGGCACGGACGCCCAGUGCUUCUGUGAUGCGCUCUCGAAGAGUCGAGUUGUUUGGGAAUGCAGCUCAAAAUGGGUGGUGAACUCCAUCUAAAGCUAAAUAUUGGCGAGAGACCGAUAGCGAACAAGUACCGUGAGGGAAAGAUGAAAAGCACUUUGGAAAGAGAGUGAAACAGUACGUGAAAUUGUUGAAAGGGAAACGCUUGAAGUCAGUCGCGUCGUCCGAGACUCAGCCUCGCCUCGGCUUGGUGUACUUCUCGGCCGACGGGUCAGCAUCAAUUUUGCCCCUUGGAUAAUGGCGAGGGAAAUGUGACACCUUUGCGGGUGUGUUAUAGUCUCUAGUCGCAUGCAAGGGUCGGGAUUGAGGAACUCAGCACGCGCCUUCGGGCGUCGGGGUUCGCCCACGAUACGUGCUUAGGAUGUUGGCGUAAUGGCUUUAAACGACCCGUCUUGAAACACGGACCAAGGAGUCUAACAUGCCCGCGAGUGUUCGGGUGGAAAACCCGUGCGCGCAAUGAAAGUGAAAGUUGGGACCUCUGUCGUG
rnacentral:rRNA from 1 species